CUGACGUUACCAGUAGAAGACCAUGAAUAAAGAAGUAUAAAAAUCUAACAAAACACCACAAAUAAAUUGUAAGACUCCAGGUUUUUCCUAAAUAUCUUUAGUUUCAAAUAUGCACUAUACAUUUUUGUUGCCACAGUUAUUUGGCUAGACCUGCAUCUACCAUCUGAGAAUAAUAUGAUCAUACUAAAUUCAUGUAACUAAAAAGUGAACCCAUCACACAUCAGCAUGUUUUCUCAAUAUACAGUGUCAUGGAUCUGCAAUUCUCCAUGAAGUCAAUGGAAGAAAACAGGACCAAUGGUGUCAUAAAUUUGGAGUGAUAUGCUACCAGCCUCCUAAGCUUUGGUGAGAUGGCGUUUCACUUACAGGAGGGCUUCUCAACUGGUGCGUUGCUAUGCCCACGGAAUCAUUGGCAUGAUGUCUGGAGUGGCUCACAACCAUGAGUGCCUACCUCAGAGUAGAGUGUCAAACACAGAGCAGACACCCCAAAAUGGUGAUAUUUUCCCAUAUGUGAACUCCCCAGUACUGUACGUGAACUCCCAAAAUACUACAAUAGUCUUGUAAGUCACAGAUAGACUGGAGUGUCUAAGAGGACCAGCUUGCCACCCAGACAAGCUGGACUAUGUGACAAAUGGUCAUUUACAUAAAAAAUAAUCACAAAUAGUCCCAAAAGACCAGUCACUCACCCAGGGCAAGUGGCAUCCUAAAUUUCACACCGAAGACAGACCUGGUAACCAAUUCUUUUGUAAACUAACUUAAAAGUUUAUUAGCUAAGAAAAGAAAUAUGAGUUAUUGAGAGGUUAAAGCAGAUAAAAUCAUGCACAGGUGAGUCACAGUCUAUAAUUCCAAAUGGUAGCAGAGAUGUAGUAAUCUGGCCAGUUUCCCAAAAGUCUCUCAGAGCUACCCAAAGUAACUCUGGGGAUCUCCAUCUUCUCAUUCAGUUAUUCUGCCCUAUUAGAAUCCAAACAGUCCACAGAUGAAGAUUUUUUUCCCCUUGUGUCCAUAUUUAUAGCUUCUCACAGAAAAGCAGCUGACAAAACAAGCUACCCACAUGAGCUCUUUGUUUGAUUGGUGGAGAGAGAGGAGCACAUUUGGAGUCUGAUCUCUGACCAUCACACAGAAUGACAGCUUGCCUUCAAAUGUGCAAGAAUUAGCACUUUCCUGUUAAAGUUCUUCAUUUGCAUUACACAAGGCUUCUUUCUCAUUUGAUGAGUUAUUUA